CAGAUUAGUGCCAGUCAU
rnacentral:misc_RNA from 1 species